UACGUAGGGGGCGAGCGUUGUCCGAAGUUACUGGGCGUAAAGCGCGCGUAGGCGGCUUUUUAAGUCUGGGGUGAAAGGUUCUGCGCUUAACGUGAACAGUGCCCUGGAGACUGGAAGGCUUGAGUGUGGGAGGGGGCAGUGGAAUUCCUGGUGUAGCGGUGAAAUGCGUAGAUAUCGGAAGGAACACCAGUGGCGAAAGCGGCUUCCUGGUCCAGCACCGACGUUCAGGCACGAGAGCGUGGGGAGCAAACAGG
rnacentral:rRNA from 1 species